GACAGAGGGUGCAAACGUUGUUCGGAAUUACUGGGCGUAAAGCGCGUGUAGGCUGCCCUGCAAGUCGGAUGUGAAAGCCCUGGGCUCAACCUAGGAAGUGCAUUCGAAACUGCGGGGCUGGAGUCCUGGAGAGGAUAGCGGAAUUCUCGGUGUAGAGGUGAAAUUCGUAGAUAUCGAGAGGAACACCUGCGGCGAAGGCGGGUAGCUGGGCCGACACUGACGCUGAGGCGCGAAAGCUAGGGGAGCAAACGGG
rnacentral:rRNA from 1 species